CGGAGGGUGCGAGCGUUGUCCGGAAUCAUUGGGCGUAAAGGGCGCGUAGGUGGCGCGACAAGCGUGCGGUGAAAGCUCGGGGCUCAACCCCGGGUCGGCCGUGCGAACUGUUGUGCUUGAGCACUGUAGAGGCAGGCGGAAUUCCGGGUGUAGCGGUGGAAUGCGUAGAGAUCCGGAAGAACACCGGUGGCGAAGGCGGCCUGCUGGGCAGUAGCUGACACUGAGGCGCGACAGCGUGGGGAGCAAACAGGAUUAGAUACCCUGGUAGUCCACGCCGUAAACGAUGGGCACUAGGCGCUUGGGGGAGCGACCCCCCGAGGGCCGGCGCUAACGCAUUAAGUGCCCCGCCUGGGGAGUACGGCCGCAAGGCUG
rnacentral:rRNA from 1 species